rnacentral:rRNA from 1 species
UGGGGAAUAUUGCACAAUGGGCGCAAGCCUGAUGCAGCAACGCCGCGUGCGGGAUGACGGCCUUCGGGUUGUAAACCGCUUUUAGUAAGGAAGAAGGGGAGCUUGCUCCUUGACGGUACUUGCAGAAAAAGGACCGGCUAACUACGUGCCAGCAGCCGCGGUAAUACGUAGGGUCCGAGCGUUGUCCGGAAUUAUUGGGCGUAAAGAGCUCGUAGGCGGUUUGUCGCGUCUGCUGUGAAAUCCCGAGGCUCAACCUCGGGCCUGCAGUGGGUACGGGCAGACUGGAGUGCGGUAGGGGAGAAUGGAAUUCCUGGUGUAGCGGUGGAAUGCGCAGAUAUCAGGAGGAACACCGAUGGCGAAGGCAGUUCUCUGGGCCGUAACUGACGCUGAGGAGCGAAAGCGUGGGGAGCGAACAGG